GCACUGACUGUAAUAAUAUGUUCGAUGGCAUUUUACCUGACUGCAGAACUAGCAUGGGAAGCGACCAGCACCGCUCCGGGUGAGAACGCCACAUCAAACUAUACGGAUCAUCGACGAGUGAAAAGAUCAACAAUGACUCUGGUGGUACCAACGCAUGGACUGGAUGAAGACAUCGUAACGGUAACAGAAGGGUCAAAUGUGACAUUCAGCUGUAACCCAUUCAUUAAGAACUGUCCAUAUUGUGGAAGACCUGAAUAUGAAGGCACAAGCAGCGCCGGGUAUGCACAAGUCUACUUUUGCAGGCAUCCGUGUAAAUGGAGUGAGGUGAAAGCCUACGAACAUCCUGGGAGCUACGGAACAGAUGGGAGAUUUAAAGUGGUGAAGAGAAGCAAGCGUGGUCACAACAAGGGCGGGAUGUCUGUCAUAAUUGCAAGAGUCAGGGCUUCGGAUCAAGGCAAGUACUACUGUGGCAUAGAUAAGACAGGAACUGACUGGUAUGAAGCAUUAAGCAUUGUCGUGGGCAAGCCAGCACCACAGCCAGUGAAACAUCUUGUUGAGCCUGCUUUUGAACCAGCUACGAAGGAAGAGGCAGCGUGGAUGGGGAACGAGGAAGCGGGCAGAGGGGGAAUGAAUCCUGCAGUGCAAAAAGCCCUGACAAGGUGCCAGGGAAAUAAGGCGUGCACUUUGGCACUGUUGCAGAAAGAGGAGCUGAAGAUAAACACCAGCUGCUGGCUGUGUCUGCAGAUGUCUCACUCAUGGAGAGCUGCUCCACUGACUGUAACCACCCUAAAGGAAACCAGGUGCCUGAUACCGCAACAGAUGACAGAGGUGCUGAUGGCAGCGGAUGAUAUAGAGAAAGGGAGGAUACCGAAGAGGAAGCCCGAACCUGACUGCAAGGGGACGUCGUGGAACAACAAAUCAGAGGUGAUGAUACCGCCGUUGAGAGUGGUGCACACACAAGGGGAUGUGUGUGUCUGUCAAACAAGACCCAGAUUGAAGCUGAAGGUGGGAUGGUCUGACUGCAGGAUCAGGAUCGACAUCAGGAAUGGAACAGCGAACAACUGCACAGCGAACAUUGAUGGAACACUGACAACGUUCACAUGUCCUUUCAGCAGACCGAGAGCAUAUCAUGACCUGCCAGAGAAAGGAUGGACAGGGUGUUGUUACCCAGCAUUAAUGAAUGUAGGGACAUCUGUGUACCUACCAAGUGAAGAGCCUGAAGGUGAGAGUAGAAAGAGAAGGAGUGUUAAUAUUUUACCGGGGGCUCUACCAGAGAGGUAUAAUGGGUAUAAGUUAUCAGAU
ensembl:lncRNA